rnacentral:rRNA from 1 species
UUAGCAACACAAGUAUUAAAGGUCCUGCCUGCCCAGUGAAAACUUUUUAACGGCCGCGGUAUUCUAACCGUGCAAAGGUAGCGUAAUCACUUGUCUUCUAAAUAAAGACCAGUAUGAACGGCUAAAUGAGGACAGACCUGUCUCCUACAACCAAUCAGUGAAACUGAUCUCCCAGUCCAAAAGCUGGGAUAUAAACAUUAGACGAGAAGACCCUGUGGAGCUUUAAACUAACCUAGUACAAGCGCACAACUAGCACCCGUUUUAAGUUGGGGCGACUUCGGAAAAAAACAAAACUUCCGAGCACAGAACCACUAAGUUCUGAACCGAGGCAAACAGGCCAAAGCAAAAAAUGACCCAGUCCACACUGACCAACGAACCAAGUUACCCCAGGGAUAACAGCGCCAUCCUCUUCGAGAGUCCAUAUCGACAAGAGGGUUUACGACCUCGAUGUUGGAUCCGGGCAUCCAAAUGGUGCAGCCGCUAUUAAAGGUUCGUUUGUUCAACGAU